rnacentral:rRNA from 1 species
AGUCGUACAGGUCUCCGUAGGUGAACCUGCGGAGGGAUCAUUACACAAAUAUGAAGGCGGGCUGGAACCUCUCGGGGUUACAGCCUUGCUGAAUUAUUCACCCUUGUCUUUUGCGUACUUCUUGUUUCCUUGGUGGGUUCGCCCACCACUAGGACAAACAUAAACCUUUUGUAAUUACAAUCAGCGUCAGUAACAAAUUAAUAAUUACAACUUUCAACAACGGAUCUCUUGGUUCUGGCAUCGAUGAAGAACGCAGCGAAAUGCGAUAAGUAGUGUGAAUUGCAGAAUUCAGUGAAUCAUCGAAUCUUUGAACGCACAUUGCGCCCUUUGGUAUUCCAAAGGGCAUGCCUGUUCGAGCGUCAUUUGUACCCUCAAGCUUUGCUUGGUGUUGGGCGUCUUGUCUCUAGCUUUGCUGGAGACUCGCCUUAAAGUAAUUGGCAGCCGGCCUACUGGUUUCGGAGCGCAGCACAAGUCGCACUCUCUAUCAGCAAAGGUCUAGCAUCCAUUAAGCCUUUUUUUCAACUUUUGACCUCGGAUCAGGUAGGGAUACCCGCUGAACU